rnacentral:rRNA from 1 species
GAGCGGCAGCACGGGUACUUGUACCUGGUGGCGAGCGGCGGACGGGUGAGUAAUGCCUAGGAAUCUGCCUGGUAGUGGGGGAUAACGCUCGGAAACGGACGCUAAUACCGCAUACGUCCUACGGGAGAAAGCAGGGGACCUUCGGGCCUUGCGCUAUCAGAUGAGCCUAGGUCGGAUUAGCUAGUUGGUGAGGUAAUGGCUCACCAAGGCGACGAUCCGUAACUGGUCUGAGAGGAUGAUCAGUCACACUGGAACUGAGACACGGUCCAGACUCCUACGGGAGGCAGCAGUGGGGAAUAUUGGACAAUGGGCGAAAGCCUGAUCCAGCCAUGCCGCGUGUGUGAAGAAGGUCUUCGGAUUGUAAAGCACUUUAAGUUGGGAGGAAGGGCAUUUACCUAAUACGUGAGUGUUUUGACGUUACCGACAGAAUAAGCACCGGCUAACUCUGUGCCAGCAGCCGCGGUAAUACAGAGGGUGCAAGCGUUAAUCGGAAUUACUGGGCGUAAAGCGCGCGUAGCGGUUGUGUUAAGUUGGAUGUGAAAUCCCCGGUCUCAACCUGGCAACUGCA